UUUGGGUUCCGAGUGGAAUAUUCCAUGGUGUUUCAGUUCAGUUUGUUGUGGAAUAGGAGGGUUCUGGCAACCUGAGGCAGCUCUGGUGCCAUGGAGGACCACUUACUGCUACGAAGUUUUACUGUAUACAAGUCCUGGAGAAGCUGUGUGAGGCCAUGUCAGUAUUGCCUGGAGACGUGAGACUCAUAUCAGACCGUUAAGGCUUAGCAUGGGAGAUGGCGAUGCCAGGCAAUCAUCAAAGCAGCAUGAAGGAAUAAUCAGAUCACCAGGGACAGACUGGCAACCGUUCAGAGCUGAUAUGGGAUAAAAGAUGAGCAGAGUCAAUAUUUUGAUGAAAUUUAGACACAAAGAAGGUUGGACCCAGGAAAAACUACAGAGAGUGGAGCAUUACCUUACAAGUCGAAAAAUGAAGCAAUACUAAGAGACAAAAGAGCCACCUUGAAUUCAGGCAUGCGGAUAGUUGGAGAUGACAGAUUUUAUAUCUUUACUAGCUAAUAUCUAAUGUUCUAAAUAAACU
rnacentral:lncRNA from 1 species